rnacentral:lncRNA from 10 species
CAGGGUCUCACUUUGUCGCCCAGGCUGGGUGCACUGGCACAAUCUUCACUCACUGCAGCCUCAACUUCUCCAGCUCAAGAGAUCCUCCUGCCUCAGCCUCCUGAGUAGCUGGGUCUACAGGAAUGCUGGGAAAAAAUCAAAACACCCUCAUUUUACAGAUGGAGAAAUUGGCUCAGAGAGGUGAAGUGGCUUCCUGAGAUCACACAGUGAAUAUGUGACCAAGGAGGACCUGAAACCAACCCACCCAACAUCAAAGCCUGUGCGCUUUCCACCAGGCUGAGGUGUCCACCCCUGUGGUCAGUGUGUGUCUCAGUGUGGGACAAAGGAAAAACCAUGCAGCUUUGGAGGUCUCCAAACCUCCCAGUUUAGGAUAAACCCCUCAAUUAUGCUUGAAGUUGGACCAGCUUUUGAAACCUCUACUGGACAUUCUUUUCCCAUCAAGUUCCUUGAAAUGUCUCUUUAAAAUACAUCUAGGAAAAGCCACUCUCAUUAGCCAGAGUCUGACUUUAUUUUCCUAAUAAACAGACCUCCAGUAAGACAAAAGAGCCUCUUUUAUUUUCAAUCAAUUCUUGAAUAUUUCAGUGGAUUUUCUUCUGUUUGGCUUGAAAUUGUGAUCUGGGAAAGGCUGGUCCUGCGAAUUGUCCUCCUGUAUAAGGGAAGCCCCUUGAGGAUCCUCAACUUGUUAUUUUUAAUCACUGUAAUCUCCUUUUCAAAGGAGGCCCUGGCCAGAAACAGAGCAGGCCUUUCAGAGCUUUCUAAAGCACAAUUAUUGCCGUUGGAGGGAGGGGGGACUGUGGGAAGAGGGAGGGAGAGUAGAGAGAAGUGGUGGGAAAGAAAAGGAAAUCAAUAUAAUACUAACAACUUGGAAAAGACAAAAUAAUGAUCUCAACUGGAUUCAGGUUUUGGGGAAGAAACUCCAUGUUUCAGUCUUUUUUAAUAGUGACCAUUUUAUUCCGGUCUAGAGUACCUAAAGACUGUACUUAGACAGCAGGCACAAAGAACAGAAGCUGCUUGGGGAUGAACUGGAAUACUGUGGACAAAGAUUUGAGGCAGGAAAACAAGUCAUUGAUUCCAAGGAUUGUGAGGAAUCCUAAUUCAUGAAAAAAUUAAAAAGCAAAUAGAACACCAGGGGAAUGCCAGCUUCACAGCCUUAAGUCAGGACAAUGAGCAGAAUGUGUUUGAGUUACUUUUAACAUAAUUAUUCUAAGAAAGAAGGAGCCAACAGAAAAUGUCACAAACUAGGCCAGUACCUUUUCUUUCGGACUUUGAGUGGCAGAAUCAGGUUUGCUAAUUGCAGGAUAUUUACUUGGAAAACCUCAGCAUGGUUCCUGCAAGAUCUCUUCCAAGGUCUUUUAGCCAUAAGAAGGGAGAAAAGAUGAUUGCCCAAUCUAUAGCCUGAGUUGGGGUGUCAAAGUCCAGAUGGCUGUUUAGGCAGGAGUAGCCUGUAGGGUGAAAGUCCAGGACACUCCCUAUCCAGUCCCAGUUCCCCACCUGCUGGCCCUGGACGUUUAGGUAGUUCUGAAACCUCUUUGGCCCCGUGAAUACCAGCUGUAUCUCCUUCCCAGUGCUAGGGCCACCAGCUGCCAAUGCUCAACUAAAACACGGAGGAUUAGUGUGAAAAGAGACGCUGGGUACACUUGGCCUGAACCUCAGACUAGUCUAAGUCACUGAAAAAAUCUUCCUGGGCUUGCAUUAGCAACAGUCUUAGGCAAGGCUCCUGAUAUGAAAAAA